UGGGGAAUCUUGCGCAAUGGGCGAAAGCCUGACGCAGCGACGCCGCGUGAGGGAAGAAGGCCUUCGGGUUGUAAACCUCUUUCAGCAGGGACGAAGCUACUCGGGUUAACAGCCCAGAGGGUGACGGUACCUGUAGAAGAAGCCCCGGCUAACUACGUGCCAGCAGCCGCGGUAAUACGUAGGGGGCAAGCGUUGUCCGGAUUUACUGGGCGUAAAGAGCGUGUAGGCGGCCAAGCAGGUCUGUUGUGAAAACUGGAGGCUCAACCUCCAGACGUCGACAGAAACCGCUUGGCUAGAGUCCGGAAGAGGAGAGUGGAAUUCCUGGUGUAGCGGUGAAAUGCGCAGAUAUCAGGAAGAACACCAAUGGCGAAGGCAGCUCUCUGGGACGGUACGUGACGCUGAGACGCGAAAGCGUGGGGAGCGAACAGGAUUAGAUACCCUGGCAGUCCACGCCGUAACGAU
rnacentral:rRNA from 1 species